rnacentral:rRNA from 1 species
GACGAACGCUGGCGGCGUGCUUAACACAUGCAAGUCGAACGGAAAGGCCCUGCUUUUGUGGGGUGCUCGAGUGGCGAACGGGUGAGUAACACGUGAGUAACCUGCCCUUGACUUUGGGAUAACUUCAGGAAACUGGGGCUAAUACCGGAUAGGAGCUCCUGCUGCAUGGUGGGGGUUGGAAAGUUUCGGCGGUUGGGGAUGGACUCGCGGCUUAUCAGCUUGUUGGUGGGGUAGUGGCUUACCAAGGCUUUGACGGGUAGCCGGCCUGGGCGGGUGACCGGCCACAUUGGGACUGAGAUACGGCACAGACUCCUACGGGAGGCAGCAGUGGGGAAUAUUGCACAAUGGGCGGAAGCCUGAUGCAGCAACGCCGCGUGCGGGAUGACGGCCUUCGGGUUGUAAACCGCUUUCGCCUGUGACGAAGCGUGAGUGACGGUAAUGGGUAAAGAAGCACCGGCUAACUACGUG